GGUGAUCUGGGUGGGGUCAGUCGGUCAUCCAGGUGAUCUGGGUGGGGUCAGUCGGUCAUCCAGGUGAUCUGGGUGGGGUCAGUCGGUCAUCCAGGUGAUCUGGGUGGGGUCAGUCGGUCAUCCAGGUGAUCUGGGUGGGGUCAGUCGGUCAUCCAGGUGAUCUGGGUGGGGUCAGUCGGUCAUCCAGGUGAUCUGGGUGGGGUCAGUCGGUCAUCCAGGUGAUCUGGGUGGGGUCAGUCGGUCAUCCAGGUGAUCUGGGUGGGGUCAGUCGGUCAUCCAGGUGAUCUGGGUGGGGUCAGUCGGUCAUCCAGGUGAUCUGGGUGGGGUCAGUCGGUCAUCCAGGUGAUCUGGGUGGGGUCAGUCGGUCAUCCAGGUGAUCUGGGUGGGGUCAGUCGGUCAUCCAGGUGAUCUGGGUGGGGUCAGUCGGUCAUCCAGGUGAUCUGGGUGGGGUCAGUCGGUCAUCCAGGUGAUCUGGGUGGGGUCAGUCGGUCAUCCAGGUGAUCCGGGUGGGGUCAGUCGGUCAUCCAGGUACAUGUUUAAUGACGACAGACACCGGUCACGAUGGCUUGAACCCCGGGUCACAAGACUUGCGUUAGCUUCCUGAGCGAAGGGCUGAGCCUCGGCAUUAUCUCCAAGAGCUAAACAAGUCUUCAUGUUCACAGAAUCACCUCCGUUACAUAAACCUCCACAACUUCUGGUCACAUGACUCCAGUCUCAGCUCUCUCCUCUUCCCGACUCUAUCCUGACCCAAUCUGAGAUGGGUUGUACCGCCCUGAGGAGAAGUUGGCCCUAACCACAAAUCUAGGAUCAUCUUCGUCACCUCUUAACCUUAAAGCAUUGAGGGGAAACAGAACUGAUUCAAGAUCAGCGUCUGUCAGCUUCUGGUCACAUGACCCCAGUCCCAUCUCUCUCCUCCAUGUGUAUAAAUAUAGCUGGAUGUUUUUCCAACGCUGCUUCUAUCUUCCUGAGUCUCGCUCAUUCUCCUCCUUUCUUUGUGUUGGGGGGCUGAAUAUUAAAUUAGAACAGCCAUGGUCAAAACACAGGGGGAGGAACUGAAUAUUAAAUUAGAACAGCCAUGGUCAAAACAGAGGGGAGGAACUGAAUAUUAAAUUAGAACAGCCAUGGUCAAAACAGAGGGAGGAACUGAAUAUUAAAUUAGAACAGCCAUGGUCAAAACAGAGGGAGGAACUGAAUAUUAAAUUAGAACAGCCAUGGUCAAAACAGAGGGAGGAACUGAAUAUUAAAUUAGAACAGCCAUGGUCAAAACAGAGGGAGGAACUGAUAUUAAAUUAGAACAGCCAUGGUCAAAACAGAGGGAGGAACUGAUAUUAAAUUAGAACAGCCAUGGUCAAAACAGAGGGAGGAACUGAAAAGGGGGAGGGACCAUAGUACUGUUUUUGUUUGUUUGGUAAGAAUAAAAAGUUAUUUUUACGUUCGCUUGUGAGCAUCGACAGAGACCAGAGUGGUUUCUGGGCCCCGCUGAGUGAGUGAGUGAGUGAGUGAGUGAGUGAGUGAGUGAGUGAGUGAGAGUGUGUGUGUGUGUGUGUGUGUGUGUGUGUGUGUGUUGUAGCUACUCUGCUGUGUGUUGACAGUAUGAACCAGAACGUGGUGUGCUUGCAGUGAUGCAUAUUUUGGAUUUAUUCCUCUCAGAAUAAAUAAAUGUUCUAAACAAGCUCCGUUCCACUGGACUCUUUUACUACGGUCUGUCUGUCUGUUUGUCGU